ACGGAAGGCAGCAGUGGGGAAUAUUGCACAAUGGGCGAAAGCCUGAUGCAGCGACGCCGCGUGAACGAAGAAGUAUUUCGGUAUGUAAAGUUCUAUCAGCAGGGAAGAUAAUGACGGUACCUGACUAAGAAGCACCGGCUAAAUACGUGCCAGCAGCCGCGGUACUACGUAUGGUGCAAGCGUUAUCCGGAUUUACUGGGUGUAAAGGGAGCGCAGGCGGCGCGGCAAGUCUGAAGUGAAAUCCCGGGGCUCAACCCCGGAACUGCUUUGGAAACUGUCGUGCUAGAGUGUCGGAGGGGUAAGCGGAAUUCCUAGUGUAGCGGUGAAAUGCGUAGAUAUUAGGAGGAACACCAGUGGCGAAGGCGGCUUACUGGACGAUAACUGACGCUGAGGCUCGAAAGCGUGGGGAGCAAACAGGAUUAGAUACCCUGGUA
rnacentral:rRNA from 1 species